rnacentral:rRNA from 1 species
CAGUAGCCGCGGUAAUACGUAGGGUGCGAGCGUUAAUCGGAAUUACUGGGCGUAAAGCGUGCGCAGGCGGUUAUGUAAGACAGAUGUGAAAUCCCCGGGCUCAACCUGGGACCUGCAUUUGUGACUGUAUAGCUAGAGUACGGUAGAGGGGGAUGGAAUUCCGCGUGUAGCAGUGAAAUGCGUAGAUAUGUGGAGGAAUACCGAUGGCGAAAGCAGCCCCCUGGGCCAAUACUGACGCUCAUGCACGAAAGCGUGGGGAGCAAACAGGAUUAGAUACCCGAGUAGUCCCUGUCUCUUAUAA